CGAAGGGAGAGAGAGGGAAGGAAGCGAGAAGGAGCGAUCGACGGGGAGACCACUACGAGGGGGAGAGAGAGAGAGAGAGAGAGACAGAAUUCGGGACAGCUGUCGUACAAGGAACACCCCCCGUCGAGAAAGGUGAGAAUGCAGGUAGAAAACUCAACGACUUCUAUUCGAGAGGAAGGCCAAAGAAAGUAAAAUGCAUCUUGUGCGCCGUUCUACACGAUCCAACGAUGACGCGCGCGCGAUAGAGGCCGACUGAACUGAUUCGUACUCACACGUAUACACGCAUACGCAGAUCAAUGUAUGUAUAUAUAUGUACCUGCGUCGCGUGCUCUGCGUCAAAUGUACCACUCUCGGUCUCUCCGUCGCUCUCAUCCCCACCUACCUCGUGCGCUGUGUAUACAAACACGUGACGAUUGCUACGCGCACGCGAGUCGCGUUUAUCGCGACGCAUCGAGAGGGGCGAGGAGAUACGCACAUAUAUACGAGACGUCGAGACGCAAAAAAGAUCGCGACGAAGGGUAGGAGCGCGAAAUCUUCCUCCAAAGAUUCUUUUUAAUGAAUAUAUAAUAAUGAUUCACUUUUCGCUUCUCUUGCCUCAUCGCAGAAUCAUCUCUCUCCCUUUUUCUCUCGAGAAUUGUGUUAUUUAUUCAUAUAUGUAAACGCGAUGUUUUUUCUUUUUUUUCUUUUUACCGCGUUCUUUUAUAGUAUUGUGUACAUAGUUCGCAACGAGUUGAAAAGAUUAAAAACUUCUGAAGAUUAAGAAAAAAGAUUCCACGAAGACCGCGCGCCUCUCCGAUAAGCCACCUUUAAUAAACCUCCGUAAGUAAUAUUAUUUUUUUUUUCACUUUUCCUUUCGUUAAUGUAUGCUUUGCCGAUUGAUUGACCUCUGAUUAUCAUUGUUAAUUAAAUCCCAAGCUAGGCGAUGCGUAUUUUUCCUUUAGUGUGUCGCAACGCAAUGCAAAUCCGCACGUGUUUACUGCUCGAAGACGGAAAAUAUAUACAAUACAAAGAUCAUAAAAAAAUCAAAGGUAAAUAGAUAGAAAAUUUAACAGUUAAAGGAUAAGUCCUUUGCUUUUUAUCUUAUCGAAAUCUCUUAUGAGGAAAAUACUCUUUUUUCUCGUCACUCGUUUUUUCGUUACUCCGAUUAGAUUGCCCAUUAAUUAUUAUUAUCAAUUCUCGAGCUCUGUAUAUGGUUUUCUUUUACUAAACUUGUCGACAAAAGAUAGUUGAUAAGCGUGUUUUGAAACAUUGAUAAACCAGUUUGUUGCCAUUUCCUUUCCGUUUCGAGCGCGCGUUCGAAUUUUUAACGCGACGAGUUUUUUAGCGUGUUUUUAAAACAUAGACUGCAGAAGUCAAGUUUUGCGAAAAAAAAUCAGUGUUUCGAUUUAUGUUGUGACGUUCGGAGAAAUCUUCGGAAUAUCACAUCUUUGCAGCCCGAUUUAACGAUUUGCUCUUUUCAUAGCCAAGAAAACAAUGAUUUUCCUUUCCUUUGUUAUGAAGUAUUGUGUUUUUCUCGACAUAGUUUUUGUAAUUCUUUUCACUGUUCAUGUUUCAAUACCUUUGGAAAUUGGCCCUUUAGUUCCUAUCCUCACUGGUUUAUUGUUCCUUAGUUCCUAUGACAAUGUUCAUGUCCCUGCAGAAUAGAUUUUCUCCAUUAAAACGGCUUAUUUAUAACAUUAUUUGUUUCCAAAAUAAAUUUUACUAUCCCCUUUAAGACUCUUUCUCUUUUGAGCGUAGUUUUUCAUUUAUACAAUUUCUCGAAAAUGUUAAACGACGUUAAAACUUAAAAAAUCCUCCUCUUCUCCCUCUUUUUUUCAUUAGCCCAAUCGCACAAAAAGAUGUGAAUAUACGCUCAUUAGAUGCUAGAACGAUCUUUUCUUUGCUCGCGAUUUAUUGUUCGCAUUAAUAAAUCAUAUGUACGUAGUAUUUGUUAAGGAAGUACAAUAAUAGAUGAGUCAUAUUAAGAAAAACGUAAACAUUUUCUUUUUUGCUGACAUAUAGAGAGCAUAAUUUAGUCUCAAAAUAUUUUUAACGUUUCGUUUUAAUAUUUUUUUUUUGUUCGUUUGACUCUAAAUUACCAAAUUUCAGAACGAUAAUGAUUUACAUGCUCGCUUUGAUAUCAGUUGUACAAUAAUGAAAGAAACAUUAAUAUGACAUCACCUCAUAAUUUAAUUUCGAAAGGAAGAAUUCCGAAAAAGAAUUAAGAAUAUUUUAAACUUUCACAAUAUUAUCUAGUAAAUUUGCAGAAAAAGAAAGUUGCACGAUAAUCUAAUGGAAGAAUCCAUAUUUCUGUUUCUCUUUCUCUCUCUUUUGCCUUCUCUCUUACUAAUGCAUCUAUACAUGACACACGUAAACACAUCAUUGCGUGAUACACGUCGAAACAAUAUUGUAUGUUGUCAAUAUUUUCGUAAAAAUACUAUUUUUUCCUUACACAAUCUCUUUUUCCCUUCCUUCUCCUCGCGUUUUACAAAAUAAUCUCCUGCGAUCUGGGUGAUACACAAGAUGUGACGAAAUAGCAACGCUUACUAACACAUCGUCUUUAUUAGUUCUCGCCUAGGGCUUAUAAUCUACAUAUAGCUCAUCGAGUUUGCGAACAAUCGCACGUGGAGUAAUGUCAAUUAUAGUAAUUAACUCACGUUAACUUACAGUCGAGCUAAUAUAAAACAAAAGAACAGACAAUACGAUUAAUAAUAACGCGGUUAUAGCUGUUGUAAAAUUGUCAAAAAAGAUAAAAUGAUUUAAAAACACGAUGGAUCGAGAUAUCACAUCGUUUGAUCUCCCUUUUUGCAUCGUUGCAUGUAUAUCUUUUGGGAUCGAUGUGCUUCGUGAGAUUCACGAAUCGAGAAGAGUGAAGCAGAUGAUUCGCAUAUGAUUGUAUACACGACUUGUUUACUUUCAGAAUUAUUUAUACUUUAUAUAUUUCUGAAUCCUCGCACUCAUGUACUCUUGUGUUAGAAACAACCGAUUAUAUAACACUUUUUUGGUUAUAUAUAAUAUAUAUAUUAUAUAUAUAUUUACGAAAUAAAAUGCGAGACAUAAUCAUAGUUAUUGGAUGUCGCGCCAUCGUUAAAA